rnacentral:rRNA from 1 species
UCAAAAACAUGUCUUUUUGAAAAUAAUUUAAAGUCUAAUCUGCCCACUGAUAAUUUAUUAAAGGGCUGCAGUAUUUUGACUGUACAAAGGUAGCAUAAUCAAUAGUCUCUUAAUUAGUGACUUGUAUGAAAGAUUGGAUGAAAUAUAUUCUGUCUCUAAUUAAUUUAUAGAAAUUAAUUUUUUAGUAAAAAAGCUAAAAUAAUUUUAAAAGACGAGAAGACCCUAUAGAGUUUAAUAAUUUAUUUAAUUAUUAUUAAUAUAUAAUUUUUAAAAUUAAAAUUAAAUAAAUUAUUUUGUUGGGGUGAUAGAAAAAUUAAAUUAACUUUUUUUAUUUAUUAACAUUAAUUUAUGAUUAGAUGAUCCAUUAAUAAUGAUUGAAAGAAAAAAUUACCUUAGGGAUAACAGCGUAAUUUUUUUUUUUAGUUCAAAUAGGAAAAAAAGUUUGCGACCUCGAUGUUGGAUUAAGAUAAAAUUUAAAUGCAAAAGUUUAAAAUUUUGAUCUGUUCGAUCAUUAAAAUCUUACAUGAUCUGA